AGGGCUAUCGCCAAGCGGUAAGGCACAGCACUUUGACUGCUGCAUACGACGGUUCGAAUCCGGCUAGCCCUGCUA
rnacentral:tRNA from 1 species